rnacentral:rRNA from 1 species
CGGACGGCUGAGUAACGCGUAGGUGACCUGCCCCGAAGUGGGGGAAUAACUGCCCGAAAGGGUGGCUAAUACCGCAUGUGGUGGUGUGUUCGAUCACACCAGUAAAGCCGCAAGGCGCUUCGGGAGGGGCCUGCGUCCGAUUAGCUCGUUGGUGGGGUAACGGCUCACCAAGGCGACGAUCGGUAGGUGGUCUGAGAGGACGAUCACCCAGACUGGGACUGAGACACGGCCCAG